ACAGCCUCGCAGGUCCCGAGGCGCUGGCUGGGGACUCUGCCGCGGAAAGUUCCCAGUCCCCAGCCGCAGGUAAUGGAGAGGGAAUAGAGAGGUUCCCUGUUUGCAUCAGCAAAUGCGAAAACAUAAUAGCAACAGCAGCGGUGUCCUCUCUCCGGAGCGGGGUUUCCAAUGACGCUAACAUUCUUUUUCCUUUAAGUCUUCUUCCUAUGCCACAAUAUAGAAUGGUCCCCUGCGGCUUCCUGGUAAUGAAUGACCCGAGAGUAACACCGCCACAACCUGCGAGAAAAGGAGAGCCCUUUACCCAAUCCUGAGAUCUGCGGGAUUGAAAUGAAAUAUUUUGAGCUCUUUCAACUGACUCAUCAGAAUUCUGGAGCAUUUUUAAAAUGACGUGUGUUUGCUUCUUAUUUGACAAUGAUACAGUCAGCAUAAUGCUAGCAUUUGUCUGCAGAAAAUGAAAGGAAACAACUUUAAAAUAAUUUUAAUACAGAAAGAAAUAAUCAAAGGAAGAUGAUUAUGGAAUCUUAUUUACCUACUGGCUUAACGUUGUGCUCUUAGGGUUUACUCCCGAAGGCAAGUAAAAAAACUUCCGGAACAAAUAUGUGAGAGAUAGCAGAAACUGUGCUCUUCCACUACGUGAGGCCCUCCAAGGGAGAACAGUAGCCUUCUCCUCCGAGGCACUCCUGGCAUCCCCACCCCAAUUAACCAAAACUGCUAAUGGUGGCAACAGAUGGAGAUUCUGGAAGGGGAAAUCGAGGCUUGAACUUUUUGGACCUCUCUUUACUGCAAUGUGAGUUCCCUUUUGACAUUGAUGUGGGAGGAGGGGAAUUAAUAUUGUGAGCCUUUCUUCAUUACCAGGGUUAGAAAAAUACCCAUUUUUUUGGUGUUGAGAUUCCAGAAACUCGUAAGAGGUUACUCGGUUAGGGAAUCCUGAACUAAUAACCUGUUUUUCAGAUUCUGAGUGGAAAGUUUUUUUUUGUUGUUGUUUUUGUUUUUGUUUUUUAUUUAUUCAUUCGCGAGUGAGCGAGAGAGCGCGUGCGCGAAGUGAGAGCAAGGCACGUAAGUCCAAGCUGGGCGAGUGGUAGGCAGAGGCAGAGGCAGAGGGCGAAGCGACUCUCUGAUGAGCAGAGAGCUCCAUCCAAGGACCCCGGAAUCAUGACCUGAGCUGAAAGCAGAUGCUUAACCGCUUAAUCGACCAAGCCACUCAGGCGCCCCAUCCUCCAAGUGGAGAGUAUUUCUAACAUGCAUAGAUAGCUUGGACGAUGUCUUCUGAUUGGAAAACUAAGUUAUUGGUUGUUUUAUGGUUAUUUUUUACUGAAAUUCAAAUUAAAAUUUGUCUAA